UAAAAUGACUCACAAAUGGGGGGGGGGGGGGGGUCUUAACUAGCCUUGAAUUUAAUAACUUAUUUUUUGCAACUGUUGUGGCCAUUGUAAAAUAGGAACAAGUAUAGCCUGAUGGCUAGCCACUAUUUGACUGCAAAACAUAGCAGAAGAAAAGCAUCAUGCGCUAGAUUUUCAAUAACAUUUACCUCGACCGGCUUCCUUGUUUUUAUCAUAAAGAGAGCGUUUGCAAGCGACUUGCAGCAGGAACACUAACGAGUAUCAGGGGAAUACCCUGUUGUUGUCGAACCAAUGGCAUCAAAAACAGGAUAAUAAAGCCAUGGAAUUGGUUGUUUAUUGAGGCUAGAGGGACGGUCUUCGUUCGUAGGACAAGAACAACACAAAUCAUGUCUUCAUAUUUCAUCCCAAUGUCGCCAGCAAACAUAUGAGCCUACUGGCAGCAUAGCGACUCGACUGAGCUCUUCUGUCAACCGAUACAGCCUCCCACUACAUGAUAUGCUAUUUCUCGUCAUGCUUGAUUUCAUGCAUUGCUUUCCCAUGUCGUUCGCAUCCACCAGACUCACCAAUAUAGAUGCAGAAACAACAAGAAUGGCGAUCGAAAGGCACUGCAUGUGUGAAAGUCGAUGCUCAGACAUCAUUUUCACCUUUGGUGCAAGCUGGAAAUAUGUGGUGCAAAAGACGAGAGCUAGAAAACUUAAUAAUCUAGCUAUUGAGACUUUUUAGGCCUAAUUUUGUAUACUGCUUAAUAUUUUUUAAAUUUCGCUGGCGGAAGUGGUUUGUUAAUGUUUUGUCCAUAGUUUUAAUAGGGAAGGACGCUGGCAAUUUUCCCGCCGGAAAUGACAUGACGGGCGUGUGUCGUGUGUUUUCCCACCGUGUAAUUCCUUGGGCAGGUCGUGCCAUAGUUUCAAAUUGACUAUUGAGUCACAAAGCAGCUUACAAUUAGAUGGCAUUUAGUACUUUUCGUACAAUUAUUAAAGUAUGUAUGUACUUUAAAAAAAUAUAA